AGCAGAAAUCAACUCUGGCUCUGAAAAUGGAACCAUGAUUCAAGACAUGAUUAAGGAGGGGAAGAUUGUGCCCUCGGAGGUAACAAUUAAUCUUCUUCAAAAAGCAAUGCAGGAAAGUGGCAAUGACAAAUUUCUGAUUGAUGGUUUUCCUCGUAAUGAGGAAAACCGUGCAGCAUUCGAAGCUAUUACCAAAAUUGUGCCAGAGUUUGUCUUGUUCUUUGAUUGUUCUGAAGAAGAGAUGGAGAGACGCCUUUUGAAUAGGAAUCAGGGAAGAGUAGAUGAUAACAUCGAGACAAUAAGGAAGCGGUUUAAAGUAUUUUUAGAGUCUAGUAUCCCGGUGGUUGAGUACUAUGACUCCAAGGGAAAAGUUCGGAAGAUUGAUGCCGGUAGAUCAGUUGAGGAGGUUUUUGAGGCGGUUAAAGCAAUUUUUACCCAAAAAGAUGAGAAGGCUGCAGUCUAGGUGUUGCAAUAAUGCCAGAGAUAUUGAAUCAAAUAUAUAUUAAGGUGAUGGUUUUUGUUGAUUGCGUGCCAUUUAUACUUUGUUGUGUAAGGUGUUAUUGUUUACUGGGUAUUCUUUUGUGUAAGAGGUUCGGUACUUAGCUGAUGAUGUGAUGAGAGGCACAUGUAUCUCUAUAUUCUUGCUACUGUAUGUUCCAAUAACGAGAUUAAUAAUAAUAAUAAUAAUAAUAUUAUUAUUAUUAUUAUUAUUAAUCUCGUUAUUGGAACAUACAGUAGCAAGAAUAUAGAGAUACAUGUGCCUCUCAUCACAUCAUCAGCUAAGUACCGAACCUCUUACACAAAAGAAUACCCAGUAAACAAUAACACCUUACACAACAAAGUAUAAAUGGCACGCAAUCAACAAAAACCAUCACCUUAAUAUAUAUUUGAUUCAAUAUCUCUGGCAUUAUUGCAACACCUAGACUGCAGCCUUCUCAUCUUUUUGGGUAAAAAUUGCUUUA
rnacentral:misc_RNA from 1 species